GGGCAUUAAUGAGGAUUUCAUGUGGUACUUUCUACAUUGUUUGAUUAACAUGCAAUAUCAUAACUCCUGAAAUGCCC
ensembl:snoRNA SNORD34 Small nucleolar RNA SNORD34